AACGGAGGCGCUCAAAGGUUCCCUCAGAAUGGUUGGAAAUCAUUCAUAGAGUGUAAAGGCAUAAGGGAGCUUGACUGCGAGACCUACAAGUCGAGCAGGGUCGAAAGACGGACUUAGUGAUCCGGUGGUUCCGCAUGGAAGGGCCAUCGCUCAACGGAUAAAAGCUACCCCGGGGAUAACAGGCUUAUCUCCCCCAAGAGUUCACAUCGACGGGGAGGUUUGGCACCUCGAUGUCGGCUCAUCGCAUCCUGGGGCUGUAGUAGGUCCCAAGGGUUGGGCUGUUCGCCCAUUAAAGCGGUACGCGAGCUGGGUUCAGAACGUCGUGAGACAGUUCGGUCCCUAUCCGUCGUGGGCGUAGGAAAUUUGAGAGGAGCUGUCCUUAGUACGAGAGGACCGGGAUGGACAUACCUCUGGUGUACCAGUUGUCGUGCCAACGGCAUAGCUGGGUAGCUAUGUGUGGACGGGAUAAGUGCUGAAAGCAUCUAAGCACGAAGCCCCCCUCAAGAUGAGAUUUCCCAACUUCGGUUAUAAGAUCCCUCAAAGAUGAUGAGGUUAAUAGGUUCGAGGUGGAAGCAUGGUGACAUGUGGAGCUGACGAAUACUAAUCGAUCGAAGACUUAAUCAA
rnacentral:rRNA from 1 species